GUGCCAGCCGCCGGUAAUACGUAGGGUGCAAGCGUUAAUCGGAAUUACUGGGCGUAAAGCGUGCGCAGGCGGUUGUGCAAGACAGAUGUGAAAUCCCCGGGCUCAACCUGGGAAUGGCAUUUGUGACUGCACGGCUAGAGUGUGUCAGAGGGGGGUAGAAUUCCACGUGUAGCAGUGAAAUGCGUAGAUAUGUGGAGGAAUACCGAUGGCGAAGGCAGCCCCCUGGGAUAACACUGACGCUCAGGCACGAAAGCGUGGGGAGCAAACAGGAUUAGAUACCCGAGUAGUCC
rnacentral:rRNA from 1 species